rnacentral:rRNA from 1 species
UACGUAGGGUGCGAGCGUUACUCGGAAUUACUGGGCGUAAAGAGCUCGUAGGCGGUCUGUCGCGUCUGCUGUGAAAACUCGGGGCUUAACCCCGGGCCUGCAGUGGGUACGGGCAGACUAGAGUGCGGUAGGGGAGACUGGAAUUCCUGGUGUAGCGGUGAAAUGCGCAGAUAUCAGGAGGAACACCGAUGGCGAAGGCAGGUCUCUGGGCCACUACUGACGCUGAGAAGCGAAAGCAUGGGGAGCGAACAGG